CCUUAAAGGUUUUAGUGGCGAACGGGUGAGUAACACGUAAGUAACCUGCCUUUAAGACGAGGAUAACAACCGGAAACGGUUGCUAAGACUGGAUAGGAAACAAAAAGGCAUCUUUUUGUUUUUAAAAGACCUUCUUACGAAGGUAUGCUUAAAGAGGGGCUUGCGCCACAUUAGUUAGUUGGUAGAGUAAAAGCCUACCAAGACGAUGAUGUGUAGCUGGACUGAGAGGUUGAACAGCCACAUUGGGACUGAGACACGGCCCAAACUCCUACGGGAGGCAGCAGUAGGGAAUUUUCGGCAAUGGAGGAAACUCUGACCGAGCAACGCCGCGUGAACGAUGAAGUAUUUCGGUAUGUAAAGUUCUUUUAUUGAAGAAGAAAAAGUAGUGGAAAAACUAUAUUGACGUUAUUCAAUGAAUAAGCCCCGGCUAACUAUGUGCCAGCAGCCGCGGUAAGACAUAGGGGGCGAGCGUUAUCCGGAAUUAUUGGGCGUAAAGGGUGCGUAGGCUGUUAGAUAAGUCUAUAAUUUAAUUUCAGUGCUUAACGCUGUCUUGUUAUAGAAACUGUCUUGACUAGAGUGAGAUAGAGGCAAGCGGAAUUCCAUGUGUAGCGGUAAAAUGUGUAAAUAUAUGGAGGAACACCAGAAGCGUAGGCGGCUUGCUGGGUCUUUACUGACGCUGAGGCACGAAAGCGUGGGUAGCAAACAGGAUUAGAUACCCUGGUAGUCCACGCCGUAAACGAUGAGUACUAAGUGUCGGGGUAAAACUCGGUACUGAAGUUAACACAUUAAGUACUCCGCCUGAGUAGUACGUACGCAAGUAUGAAACUUAAAGGAAUUGACGGGACUCCGCACAAGCGGUGGAUCAUGUUGUUUAAUUCGAAGAUACACGAAAAAUCUUACCAGGUCUUGACAUACUCUGCAAAGCUAUAGAAAUAUAGUGGAGGUUAUCAGGGAUACAGGUGGUGCAUGGUUGUCGUCAGUUCGUGUCGUGAGAUGUUAGGUUAAGUCCUAAAACGAGCGCAACCCUUGUCGUUAAUUGCCAGCACGUAAUGGUGGGGACUUUAACGAGACUGCCAAUUAAACAUUGGAGGAAGGUGAGGAUUACGUCAAAUCAUCAUGCCCCUUAUGAUCUGGGCUACAAACGUGAUACAAUGGCUGUGACAAAGAGUAGCUGAAACGCGAGUUUUUAGCCAAUCUCAAAAAAGCAGUCUCAGUUCGGAUUGAAGUCUGUAACUCGACUUCAUGAAGUUGGAAUCGCUAGUAAUCGCGAAUCAGCAUGUCGCGGUGAAUACGUUCUCGGGGUUUGUACACACCGCCCGUCAAACCACGAAAGUUAGCAAUACCCGAAAGCAGUAGCUUAACUUCGCAAGAAGAGGGAACUGUCUAAGGUAGGGUUGAUGAUUGGGGUUAAGUCGUAACAAGGUAUCCCUACCGGAA
rnacentral:rRNA from 1 species